rfam:Lampropedia hyalina DSM 16112 genome assembly, contig: EK00DRAFT_scaffold00023.23
GGGGCGUUAGCUCAGUUGGUCAGAGCAGAGGACUCAUAAUCCACUGAUCGAGGCCAGAUCGGCGAGGCAGAAUUGAGCGGGGCGGCCACCCUUCCGCCCCA